rnacentral:rRNA from 1 species
GAUGAACGCUGGCGGCGUGCCUAAUACAUGCAAGUCGAGCGAACGGACGAGAAGCUUGCUUCUCUGAUGUUAGCGGCGGACGGGUGAGUAACACGUGGAUAACCUACCUAUAAGACUGGGAUAACUUCGGGAAACCGGAGCUAAUACCGGAUGAUAUUUUGAACCGCAUGGUUCAAUAGUGAAAGACGGUCUUGCUGUCACUUAUAGAUGGAUCCGCGCUGCAUUAGCUAGUUGGUAAGGUAACGGCUUACCAAGGCAACGAUGCAUAGCCGACCUGAGAGGGUGGUCGGCCACACCGGAACUGAGACACGGUCCAGACUCCUACGGGAGGCAGCAGUAGGGAAUCUUCCGCAAUGGGCGAAAGCCUGACGGAGCAACGCCGCGUGAGUGAUGAAGGUCUUCGGAUCGUAAAACUCUGUUAUUAGGGAAGAACAUAUGUGUAAGUAACUGUGCACAUCUUGACGGUACCUAAUCAGAAAGCCACGGCUAACUACGUG